rnacentral:lncRNA from 1 species
CUUCUAUUUCUCUUUCCCUUUUUUACUCUGUCGGUAUUAGAAAAGGGUAGAUCACAUCAUGAAUGGCGUGCUGGUGCAACCAAAUGCAACUGCCUCCAUGGACCAUGUCCUCAUCCUUGACGUAAUUCCCCAAAGGGGCAUGAUUUACAACGACCCUCAAGCUUUGGUUAGCAUGCUUGUUGUGGCCAUCAUAAUGUUUCGCAUUUGAGUUAUUCUCGCCGCAUCA